rnacentral:rRNA from 1 species
CCUACGGGAGGCAGCAGUGGGGAAUAUUGCACAAUGGGGGAAACCCUGAUGCAGCGACGCCGCGUGAGUGAAGAAGUAUUUCGGUAUGUAAAGCUCUAUCAGCAGGGAAGAAGCAAGACGGUACCUGACUAAGACGCCCCGGCUAACUACGUGCCAGCAGCCGCGGUACUACGUAGGGGGCAAGCGUUAUCCGGAUUUACUGGGUGUAAAGGGAGCGUUGACGGGAUGGCAAGUCUGAAGUGAAAGCCCAGGGCGUAACCCUGGGACUGCUUUGGAAACUGUUAGACUAGAGUGCUGGAGAGGUAAGUGGAAUUCCUAGUGUAGCGGUGAAAUGCGUAGAUAUCAGGAGGAACACCAGUGGCGAAGGCGGCUUACUGGACAGUAACUGACGUUGAGGCUCGAAAGCGUGGGGAGCAAACGGGAUUAGAUACCCGGGUAGUC